rnacentral:lncRNA from 1 species
CUAUAAACGACUGUAGCUAAAAAACAGACAAUUUACUUUGUCACAAGGAAAAAAGCAUUUUUAAUUUGAAAUUAGAAUUAAAUUAAAGUCAAGUCAAGAUAUUUAAUAUUUGUGUUGGUUUUUUUUUAACCGUACAUUCACCCUUGCUGGAUGCGAACUCAGAUCGCUUGAUUACUAGCCUUAGAUGCAUCCCCUCAGCUACGGAGGCAGACAGUUAAAUUCGAUUAAAUUCAUACUUAUUUUCAAUGUUAUUUAUAAUAUUUAUUUAUAAGUUGACCAUUAACAUACAAAUAUUAGAUUAUAAUAAGAUACUAAGAAAGACGUCAAAACUGCAUUUUUUUACAUUUUUAAAACAACACACAAUGUGGAAUGGUGUGUGAACCCGGGG